rnacentral:rRNA from 1 species
CACGCCGCGUGUGUGAUGAAGGCUUUCGGGUCGUAAAGCACUGUUGUAUGGGAAGAACAGCUAGAAUAGGGAAUGAUUUUAGUUUGACGGUACCAUACCAGAAAGGGACGGCUAAAUACGUGCCAGCAGCCGCGGUAAUACGUAUGUCCCGAGCGUUAUCCGGAUUUAUUGGGCGUAAAGCGAGCGCAGACGGUUGAUUAAGUCUGAUGUGAAAGCCCGGAGCUCAACUCCGGAAUGGCAUUGGAAACUGGUUAACUUGAGUGCAGUAGAGGUAAGUGGAACUCCAUGUGUAGCGGUG